GGUUCAGUGGCCUAAUGGAUAAGGCGUCUGACUUCGAAUCAGACGAUUACAGGUUCGAGUCCUCCCAGGAUCG
rnacentral:tRNA from 1 species